rnacentral:rRNA from 1 species
AUUGAACGCUAGCGGGAUGCUUUACACAUGCAAGUCGAACGAGUGGCGGACGGGUGAGUAAUAUAUCGGAACCUGCCCAGUAGCGGGGGAUAACUACUCGACAGAGUGGCUAAUACCGCAUACUCUCGGAACGGCCGAUAUCGGAUUAGCUAGUUGGUGGGGUAAAGGCUCACAAAGGCAACGAUCCGUAGCUGGUUUGAGAGGACGACCAGCCACACUGGGACUGAGACACGGCCCAGACUCCUACGGGAGGCAGCAGUGGGGAAUUUUGGACAAUGGGGGAAACCCUGAUCCAGCCAUGCCGCGUGUAUGAGAAGGCCUUAGGGUUGUAAAGUACUUUUGGCGGAGAAGCGGUAUCUGCAGAAUAAGCACCGGCUAACUACGUGCCAGCAACCGCGGUAAUAC